ACUACAGAGAAAUUACUUAAGCAUUUGGUGAUACCAUUUUUUUUUUUUUUGCCUGAAAUACUAUAAUAGUAUAAUAAAGGGAAUCUUUUAUUUCUUAACAGAUUUAAAGUAUGGAAUAAGUCAACAUAUUCUGGCAAUUUCAAAAACAGCUGAAAAAUAAGAAUUGCCUUUUAAAAAUACUUUCAUGGAAAUUUAAACUCUCACAUUACUAUGAGAAUGCAAAAAUUACCAACUCAAAAACAAGUUUUGGCAAGUUUUUUGAGACCCUGUCUGGAAAAAAAAAAAAAAA